CCUUGUGCUAGGACAUUAUAGAAUCAGUUUUAAGCUGCUUAAAUUUUUUUUUUUUUUUUUUUUUUUUUUUUUUGCCUUACAGAUUUGGUCUUUUCCAGAGUUAGGAAUAGAUAAAUUUCCUGAAGUUAAUUCUUGAAAAUUUAGAAUUUAGAAUAUUUUCCCAUGUUUUAGGAUACUUGAUGAUGAUACAAUUCUAACCAUAUUGAGGUUAAUAUUUGAAAUGUUAGUGUUACUGCCUGAUAGGGUUUGGCUUUGUGUCCCCACCCAACUCUCAUGUGAAAUCGUAAUCCGAAAGUGUUGAAGGAGGGGCCCUGUGGGAGAUGAUUGGAUCCUGGGGGCAGUUUCUGAUGGUUUAGCACCAUCCCACUAGUGCUGUUUCAAGAGUGACUUCUCACGAGAUCUGCUUGUUUAAAAAUAUUUACCACUACCCCUCUCUCACCUGCCACAAUGUGAAGAAAGUCCUUGUACCCUUCGCCUUCCGCCAUAAUGGCAGGGGCAUCCAGUGGUUCAAGGUUACAAUAAGCUGUGAUCGUGCCACUGCAUUCUACCUGGGAUGACAGAGUGGGACCCUGUGC
rnacentral:lncRNA from 1 species